UACGUAGGAGGCAAGCGUUGUCCGGAUUUACUGGGCGUAAAGCGCGCGCAGGCGGCAUGGCAAGUAAGGUGUGAAAUCUCCCUGCCUAACUGGGAGGGUGCGCCGAAAACUGCGUGGCUUGAGUGCGGGAGAGGAGAGCGGAAUUCCUGGUGUAGCGGUGAAAUGCGUAGAUAUCAGGAGGAACACCGGCGGUGUAGACGGCUCUCUGGACCGUAACUGACGCUGAGAUACGAAAGCGUGGGUAGCAAACAGG
rnacentral:rRNA from 1 species